ACUAAUUUGGCAGAUUAAUUGUGUCAAAUUUAGAAUUUGGUUAUAGGAAAAGUUCCUAAUUAGUG
rnacentral:tRNA from 1 species